AUUGAACGCUGGCGGCAGGCCUAACACAUGCAAGUCGAACGAGUGGCGGACGGGUGAGUAAUGUCUGGGAAACUGCCUGAUGGAGGGGGAUAACUACUGGAAACGGUAGCUAAUACCGCAUACCAUCGGAUGUGCCCAGAUGGGAUUAGCUAGUAGGUGGGGUAACGGCUCACCUAGGAGACGAUCCCUAGCUGGUCUGAGAGGAUGACCGGCCACACUGGAACUUAGAAACGGUCCCGACUCCUACGGGAGGCAGCAUGGGGGAAUUUGGCACAAUGGGCGCAAGCCUGAUGCAGCCAUGCCGCGUGUAUGAAGAAGGCCUUCGGGUUGUAAAGUACUUUCAGCGGGGAGGCGUUACCCGCAGAAGAAGCACCGGCUAACUCCGUGCCAGCAGCCGCGGUAAUAC
rnacentral:rRNA from 1 species